GAACAACUGUUAUAAGUGUGAAAACUGCCCAAAGAACAAAACAUGGCUCCUACUUAGCAAUAAACACAGAGAUUUUAAAGUGUCAAGAAGAUAAGUACAGAAUAAAUCUUUGAACUGCUCAAAGCAAGUUAGUAUGAAAAAUAUAAAAACAAUAUCAUAGAAACAGUAAAAAGACCAAAAACUAAUAAAAGGAUUCCUUAUUCAUAUGUCCAUAACACAAAACAUGUUAUACAUUCCUAAAAUGACAUAUAAAGCAUUUACUGCAUUAUUUCAUGAACACAAG